rnacentral:rRNA from 1 species
GACGUAGGGCGCGAGCGUUGUCCGGAUUUAUUGGGCGUAAAGAGCUCGUAGGCGGCUUGUCGCGUCGACUGUGAAACCCGCGGCUCAACCGUGUGGUCUGCAGUCGAUACGGGCAGGCUAGAGUUCGGUAGGGGAGACUGAAUUCCAGGUGUAGCGGUGAAAAUGCGUAGAUAUCUGGAGGAACACCGGUGGCGAGGCGGCAAUCCUGGACCGGCAGUUGACGCUGAG